CGGGAGUAACGCGUGGGUAACCUGCCUCAUACAGGGGGAUAACAGUUAGAAAUGACUGCUAAUACCGCAUAAGCGCACAGUGCUGCAUGGCACAGUGUGAAAAACUCCGGUGGUAUGAGAUGGACCCGCGUCUGAUUAGCUAGUUGGUGGGGUAACGGCCUACCAAGGCGACGAUCAGUAGCCGGCCUGAGAGGGUGAACGGCCACAUUGGGACUGAGACACGGCCCAA
rnacentral:rRNA from 1 species